rnacentral:rRNA from 1 species
ACGACUACACUCCUACGGGAGGCAGCAGUGAGGAAUAUUGGUCAAUGGACGAGAGUCUGAACCAGCCAAGUAGCGUGCAGGAUGACGGCCCUAUGGGUUGUAAACUGCUUUUAUAAGGGAAUAAAGUGAGUCUCGUGAGACUUUUUGCAUGUACCUUAUGAAUAAGGACCGGCUAACUCCGUGCCAGCAGCCGCGGUAAUACGGAGGAUCCGAGCGUUAUCCGGAUUUAUUGGGUUUAAAGGGAGCGUAGGUGGAUUGUUAAGUCAGUUGUGAAAGUUUGCGGCUCAACCGUAAAAUUGCAGUUGAUACUGGCAGUCUUGAGUACAGUAGAGGUGGGCGGAAUUCGUGGUGUAGCGGUGAAAUGCUUAGAUAUCACGAAGAACUCCGAUUGCGAAGGCAGCUCACUGGACUGCAACUGACACUGAUGCUCGAAAGUGUGGGUAUCAAACAGGAUUAGAAACCCCUGUAGUCCACCAAUCC